AAAAAUGGCGAAUAAAUUGCGAGAAAGAAAGGAAGGUGGAUAAUACAUCUGAGUGAAGUCACAAAUCGACACCAAAAUGGCACAUUUUGGAAAAGAUGUCGACAAUUUUAGUGCCACAAGAACGAUUAGGAUAGUGGGAGUGGAAACGAAUGAUAAGUUCACGACCUAUAUCAUUGAGAUUGCUGUUGGACACUAUGUGUGGCGAGUAAAACAUCGGUACAAUGAUUUCCAUGAUCUUCAUAAUCAGCUGGUUUAUUCAUGUAAAGUUGACAAGUGUCUUCUUCCUCCUAAGAAGAUGUUUGGGAAUCAGAGUGACACGUUUAUAAAGAAGCGACAGUCGGACCUGGAGGCGUACCUCCAAACCAUGUUGUACUAUCUCGCACACAAAGUCCCACCCGUCUUAGCCAGUUUCCUACAGUUUGAUAAAUAUGAAAUUCACGGCAUUACACAAUGCAUGGCUGAAGAGCUAUACAACAGAGGUGAUAUCCUCCUGCAGUCCCGAGACCCCUACGUGGUGACCCCCCUACAGCUUUACUCCCUGACCGAGAGGCUCAAGCUUCCAGAACCCACAUGUGAGAGUGGUGAUGUUAAGAAAGACAUAGGGCACAUCUUGGACUUCAUCACCAGAGUAAAAUGUUUAAAGGUGGCUGGAAGUCGUGAGAGAGUCGGAACAAGUAAUAUAGACAUGACGCAACUCAAGUUUGACCUGUCCUUGUUCAAGUCUCUACAAUGUCUAGAGUCAGAGUGCUGUCAUGUGUCCAACAUAUUGGGAAUAGAAACUGUGAAAGAAACUCUAGAAAAAGUCAGCAUCCAGCAGGGGCUGACCAAUAUCAGGGACCUGGUAUUAAAUGGCCUAACUCAGUGGAAGUCUGAGGACGGAACGGUGCUGGUCACUCAGUGGGAGAACCUGGUGGAGGCGGACUUCAGUCGAAACUCCAUCAGAGAGAUAGAUGAUAGUGUGCAACUGAUCCCGAGGGUGGAGGUUCUAGACCUGAGUCACAACCGACUGACUGGUGUACAGCACCUGAACUGGCUGAGUCAGCUCACACAGCUGGACCUGUCCAACAACCAGAUCAAAGACCUGGAGAAUCUACACACCAAGAUAGGCAACCUCAAAAUACUCAACCUGGCCGGAAACAAGAUGGACAGUCUCAAAGGUUUAUCAAAACUGUUUUCCCUGGAAACUCUUGAUGUCAGGAACAACAAUUUAGCACAGGUAGAAGAGGUGCAGUAUGUGUGUUGUCUCCCCUGUAUAGAGAACCUCUACCUCGAGGGAAACCCUGUGAACCAAGUUCUAGACUACCGAACAAAGAUACUGGAACAGUGUGGAGACAGGGUCCUAGAGGUUAGCCUGGAUGACCUGAAGCCGUCUCAGAAGGAACUUGACACUGUAGCCGUGUUACAAGCCAUCAGAAAGUCCAAAGAAAACAAGGUCAAGAUACAGUCUGGGACCAGGAAGCUUUCAGCUAGUGAGCUUCAGUCCAGUGGAUCUCGACAUUCAAGCCUGUCUGGUAGUGAAGGGAAAAUGUCCUCACGCCAAGAGUUAGGUUGGAGUACACAUGGAUCUUUUAGUGCCACACCCUCUGUGUCAGAAGGAGAAUCGUCACUAAAAGCGAACUCCUCAAAUUCAUCACGAACAGCAUCUAAUGCAAGUCAAAUGGAGGGAACAACGACCUCGAUACCGGACACUGUCCCAAGAUGACCCCCCACACACCCACACCAUCGCCAUCAGCUCCCUCCCCACCCAUCAGGACCCACAGUUCAUGUCCUGGUUACAGGAGAGACUGUUUGGUAAAGACACUGAACCUGGUGCUAUUGUAGAACAAGUUGUGAAUGUAUUGUGGUGUGGUGUCAUUCAGUUCACUCGUCAAGAGCUGAUGGUGCCCUGCUGUGCUGUGUUGUCAAAGAGAAGAAUCUUCAUCCUCAGGCUGAAGCCUGGAGAGAGUGGGUACACAGGUGUACCAGAACUAGAGACAUUUUACAUAUUGCCUCUAUGUAACGUACAAGAGGUAGUGAUUGGUCCUUGUUAUAGCUAUAUCAGGCUGGAGGAAUCAUUUGUUGGGGCCAGUGGUACAUUUACUCUUGUUGUUAGCGACCCUGAUGAUGGUAAAUCUUUCUCACACAGCAUCGUAACAGCUUACAGUUCUGGGGAUCUGGGACCAUUAAAUCUUGCAAACUUUUCACAAAACUCUGACUUAGCUUCUCAUAUUUUUUCCUUGGAGGAUUUGGAGGGCCUGUGCACUGGUAGAAUAGCUUACAGCAUGCUUGUCACCAUAGCAGGAGUUGAGCAGUCAAGUCUUCUUAUCUUGUCUGAAAACAAGGUUUAUCUCGUUCAUAUUGAUUGUCUGUUCUGGCCUAGGCCCUCUUUCCUCAGUGUGUUGGAAGAUAUAAAAAAUCCAAACUUCACAUUCCUUCAAAAUCAUUCCAUCACAACUAAAAUGAGUGACAUUAAAAUGAACGUGAAACUAAAGCUUUCCUCCAGAUCCAAAAAGACAGUUGACACAAGUUCAUUGCAAUUUGAAAAAUAUGGCUUAUCUAUUAUCUUCCAUGAACUUGUGGGACCUGUGGGUAUGCACUUGUAUUUCUUUUCAACAAAAGCAAGAGAUGGUUUCUUAGAUAGGCUGACCAACUUGAGAUCUGAGCAUGCCCAUAGGCUAUCCCCGACCAUUCGAGAGGAACCUGAGGGGGGAAACGAGUCCUCUGAUAGCCUUGAUAACUCAACUGCCAGCCAAACAGUACUUACCCCCGUAAGUGGACCCCAAAUUAAGGUUGAACCAGAAGAAGACAAAGCUGUAAUGGCUGAAAAAGACACAGUCACUGCUGCAGAUGCCAUUGAAAAAGAAUUUCUAGAAAAAGCUAUGACAGAGGGAAACGGAUCAGUUCCCAAAAGCCGAUCUGUUACCAUCUCAGAACUGAGGCUUAAAGUAGCCCCUGCAGAUGUAAAAGAAACAGAACCACCGGAGAUUGAUUAUCUUACUGAUGAACUCUGUAGCCAACUUACGAAAUCAAUUCAAAGUUAUCAGCUUGCAAAGAAAAUUCCAUCUAAACUGAAAGUUCUGAAGAACAUGACCGGGAAAGAGUUGGCGCAGUAUUUUCAUUCUGACAUUGCAAUGAUUGGAGUAGACUACGAACAGCUUCACUUUGUAUUGUGGUCUGUGGUCAUCCCUUAUGAUCGCCCACACUCUGAGAUCAUUUCCUGUGUGAUGCUAAGCACCAAAGCAGUAUACUUUGUGUCAAACCAGCUGGUGAAGUCUCCCAUGAAAGAAAGACAGUCCUGGAUGACCCACACCCGCCACAAGUCGGACUCCAUUGUGAUGGGUCAGCAGUCUGUCCAAACGGAUCGUCAUCAUACCUCGGGAAUCAUACACAGUAGUCAGCACGGCACCAUCAUCCGACCUUACCACAUUCUGCAGUACUCAGAUCUGCAUCAGGUCAACGUGGGGUUGUUUGAUCAGUGUAUCAGGCUGACUGGGCGCGACAGACACACCGUGAACACGCUGGUUACACGUGAUAGCGCCGUCACAGAGAGGUUUGUCAAUCAGCUCACCACAAUGCUUUCCAUUUUCACGUCUUCUCCAAUGCUGGAGAGCAGUGCGUCGGACCUUGAACAAGAUUUCUACAGGGCAUUUGAGAGAAGAACAAAAACGGUGGUGGACGGAAUGGAGUAUGUACAUCCCAGUAAAGUCCAGUUCAUCUAUCCCGGGGAGGAUGUGAUGUCGGAUCUACUGUUCAUUAUCACUGAACAUCUACAUCUUCCCACAUCGGCAAAACGUAAGGCCGACAUUCUGAUGUAUUUCAUUGGCUACGUGGCUACAGAGGAACACCAUGUGGGAUCUGUUGAUCACGUGAAGUCCCGCAGCAUGGUUCUGACCAAUCAGUAUCUCUGUUUCAUAGUGGAGGACUUGAUCAACUACCCUAUUCCAGACUUUGCACGAGGGCUCCCGAAUUCUCCCAGAUACAAGGUCACAGAGACCAAAAAGAUUAGCCAUCUAAAGCGUGUACUUAUGUUUAAAGACAACGAGCACAAACUAAGUUUGAUAUUUUCCGAUGAACCAGACGAGAUUAACGUUGAUACGUCAUCGGACCAUUUCAGUGUUGAGAAUGAUUCUAGCGGUCGACAGUCACCGCCUGAGGUGGAGUCCACGAUCCUCAUCCAGAGUCCCCGAGAUAUGAACAAGUUUAUGUUACUUCUGAAAAACCAAUGGCGGGAGGUCCAAGAUGGCGAGGAGCUGGAGGUUCACGUUCUCUGACGUAAUCACCCGCCAUUUAUAUUCAUCUUAGUCGAGUUCACGAUUUGUGCAAUAUUUGUUGAUAACUUUUGUGAUAAUAUUUGUGUUUUUUUUGUAUAAAAUCACCAAAUAAGGUUGCCAAAUGUAUGUUUCUUAAACUAAAAGAGUCGUAGCGUGAAAGCUCGGCGUUCAUGUUUUGAUGUGUGCAAUGAAAGUUGUUUGUUACCAUGUAACGUUAGAAAUCAUGUUUAUUAAAUUUGAUAU
rnacentral:misc_RNA from 1 species